ensembl:lncRNA
AUGGAGGCAAUCCAAAGGCAGUGUGCAUCUCUGCCUGAGACUGCUUCAGAGAUCAAAACGGUCAUUGUGAAAAUAGCUUACGACAGUGUUUCCAAAGUGUACCUGGAAUGCUUGAUGAAGACAAAUGUCAGAAAGCUAGAGAUGCUUUGGGGAAAUGCUGAGGAAAAGAUAAAAGAGGAUGUUCAACAUUUUCACCAAAUAUUCUCUGACCUGAAUGGCAUUGCUGCCCAGGAGAGCCAGCUCCUUCAGAGAAUGAGUGUUUUGCUUUACAGUCAUGUAAAAACGAAGGACGUUACCAAUGCUUUGUUCAAAGACUUCCCUCAGGAGAGUGAGCAUUAUGUACCUGGUCUGCUGCGCUGGAAAGGUGUGUUAUCAGAGCGACAGGUGAAGGAAGUGCUGACUGUGAGCCGGGAUCUCGUUCUGGAUCUAAAGCCUAGACGUGUCACAUGUCAGCGUCUGAAGGGACUUUGCUGUUGUCUUUGA